GGUUAAGUGUCCUGCCUAAAGUCAUGCAAGCAGUAAGUGACAGAAUUUGAUUUUGAAAACAAAAUCUUUAAAAGCCAAUCUAUAUGUGUCCUUGCGUAAGUUUUCAUCUUUGUAUUCCUGGCACCUAGCUGGCUUCUUAUUUGUGUGAGACUGGGCAUAAGAAAAUAUAUGCCAUCCCAACCAACGAUAUGAUGGAGUUCCAUGCCACACUGCUUAACACUGCUUUAUUAGAGCCACACCUAUAGAUGUCCACAGGGCUCAUGAUGCCCCCUGUCCCUGUGUCAACAGGGAGAAUUAUAAGAGCAUGAGAAAAAGGAUAAUGGAUUGAGGCCCCAGUCAUGCCUUUUGGAGGGGGCAAGGGAGGGAGUUGACUGUUCCCAGUUAACAUGAAUGAACUGAUCGGGGAAGACAGGAAGUAGCAAGAUUUCUGGGGCUUACUGUAGUUCAAUAUUUAAUGGCAGUUAUGAAGGGUUAGACAUACACUCUAAGAGGAAGUCUGCCAAAGGACUUCCUGGCUAAAUCUUCCUUAUCUCCUCCCCCACUGUCAUCAGAAUGAAAAAAAUCCUUACUACUUCCUUGAUUAAAAUCUAGAAGGUACUAGUGAAAGUAGGUUCAAAAUGGCAAAGGCCAUAAAGAGUUGAUAUGAGAACUAGGCGCUUUAUUCCAAAUUCAACGUUCCUUCCCUGGGGUAGCGCUUAUGUGCAGCUUUUCUUUAUCAGGAGAGGCCAAUAACAUCAAAGAGGAAAAACACUGGCAGAUUUACUGAGAGGAGGUGAAAUACCAGGAGUCUAGUGAUCGAUGAAGAAGUCAUCUUCAGCAGAAAAGACUCACUUUUGGAAUCUUGGCCACUGUCGGAGUUACAAAUUAUCCCUGCAAAAGGUAAUAACAGCAUCACAACCCUCUUGUCCUAACAUGUGGUUCAUUCCAGAAGUGCUGAAGUUACAGAAAAUGAAGCACAGAUUCAUGAAAAGGAUGAGUGUUUGCUGGCUACCUACUAUGUACUCAGCCUACUUAUCGUCCCAGAAUAGACUGUACUU